GAUAGUUUUCAAGUUUAUUGGCUGAAUUAAGAAAUUUGGGUGCCCUGCAGUUAACUUGUUUCUUUUUUAGCAUUUAUCAGUUGUUAAUUAUUGUCUAUGUUCUUAUUUUAGCAAUUCUAUUGAAAAGUAUUCCAAAGUGCAUAUUUUUUUGAACUACACUGUAAGUGUAUCUGUUCAAGCAGGUCCUGUUUUUUUUUAAUACUUUGAUAUCUGAUUUCUUGACUGUCAUUGGAAUAUGACCCGAUCAUUUUAUAAACACAGGUUUUGCUUGUUGUCAGCUCAAUAAAUUCUUAUAUGAAUCAGAUAAGAUAUUAACUGAUUGAUGAAACUGUCCUGUAUGAACCACAAUGAAAGAAAUAAAAAUUUCCUUGGAGAUGAAAUAUACUUUGUUUUAAAUUAAGGUUUCUUUUAUAAUGCAUUAUUUCUCUUUUUUUUUUUUUGCCAAAAAUUUAAUUUAUUCAGUCAGAAAUCAAGGUAACAAAGAAAUUCCGUUAAAGUCAAAACUUACUUAUUUAUUUGAUGUAAUUCCUAGGAUACAUGUCAUUAUUGUUUCAUGCUCACUGAGAACUUGUAUGGAUAUCUCCCUUUUUAAAGUUGGUGGAAAGCAGAUGCACAGGCUGAAUUUGCCUUUUUAAUUGCAAAGAUAAUUUAUAACAAUGAAAUUAAAGGAUUGGUUUUCAUGGUUAAAUUUAUAGUUUACCUCUUAGGUCCUAGAUAUCUUAGUAUGCUAUGUCUUAUGUUGCUCAAAUUCAUCUGUUGCAUGAACCAUUCAUAUAUGUAUCUUUCCAUAUAUCUCAUUAUCUAUUUUCUUAAAGGUGUGGUUUCUUUGAUGAUUCCAUCAAUAUCAUUGUUUAUUUAGUUGUUAAUCCAACACUUUGUUCAUGUAAAAUAAAUUGAAUGCUUCUAGGUUUGGGUAAAGUGGGGAGAGAGACGCCAGUUCAUUGCCCAGAACAAGCUAGGAAUGUCACAAUACACAUAUUUGAUAACAAUUUGAUCACCGGUGAAAACUCAUAUAGCAAACUCUCUCUUGUUGAUUUGAGGAGCUGUUUGAUUUAGCCAAUUCAGAUUCAACUGCCACUUCUCAGUACCAAUUUAGCAUUACGGUUUGUUAGCUCUAUAAUGAACAGGCUAGAGAUCUUGUCUUGAUUUUGCAAUGACUCCUUCUCAUUGAGGUGCAAGAUUUACACCUUAUUAUUCCUGGCUAUUUCUUUUGAGUGGAGCAGUGAUACACGCCCGCUUUCUUAUCAGCAGGAUCUGCCACAGACUUUUCCUGGCCAUCCAUGGUUGGACACUCUCGAGGGACAUGCUGCUCUUAGACGUGUUCUAAUGUUGGAUAUUGUCAGGUGGAUUUGAUCUGCUCUUCCUUCUUAUUCUGAAUUAUUUUCCCCUCUCUUAAGUUCUUGUUGGAUGAUCUAGCCUCCUUGUUUUCAGGAUGCUUGUAUUGUAGAUCAGAAUUGUAAAAUUUAAUACCUUAAUAACUUAACUGUUACUGUUAUAAUGUGAAUAAAUGUCAACUUAGGACAUUGUGCUAUUUCAUUGCCCUAGAUUUACAUUAUUAAAGAGGCAUUUGCACCUGUUCAGUUUAACUUUUGUUAGCUCGACAUUUUAUUUUAAUAGUGUAAUAGAGAGGAAUUGGUUGUAUAAUAAAGUGGUGGUUUGUAAUUUUGAAGUGUAAAGGUUUUGGAAAAUCUUUACUCACUCUUGAUCUCAACAUCUGAGGGCAACAAGCAAAAAUACGGAUGUAUUUAGGAAAUAU